GUUCCAUGAUGAUUCCCCCAUGCGUGUCAUCUGACCCCGUGCCCCGAUUUUUCCCCUCCGGCCCGCGUUCUGCUGGGCAGGGGGAGGAAUCCCCGGGGCCAGGGGGAAAGUGAUCAUACCUGGAUAAC